rnacentral:misc_RNA from 1 species
AAGUCGUAACAAGGUUUCCGUAGGUGAACCUGCGGAAGGAUCAUUAACAAAUCAUGCUUGUGUGUAGAGGGAAAUAAUUUCUCUCAUACCACAACAACAUCAACACCGGGUAUAUUCUCGUUGUCUUAAGAUGGUGUACUACGUUACAUUGCCUUAUUAUGAUGAAAAUAUGGCCCUGUGGUUCGUGAUAUAUAUGGUGGAGUCAUCUAUUAUAUGUAUUGCAAUAUUAACCGUUUUUAUUGAUUGACUGAUUGAAUCAUUUAUUAAUAGUAACAACUUUUAACAAUGGAUCUCUUGGCUCUU